rnacentral:lncRNA from 1 species
CAAAAUACCAAACACACGAUAUAUUGUCUUUUCUCCCUAUCUGAAGAGGUUUUACUCCAUAAAGAAUCUAGGUUGAGGAAUAUUGAGUUUUGGUUGAAAUUGAGAAAGUUGAAAUAGUCUUUUGGAAUUGUAAAGGAAGAGUGAGUUCAAGAUUAUAUAUAUGAUUCUAAUUUUUCAUUACAAUUCACACUAGUCAGAAAUACUUAAGCUUGUAUCUAAUAUUUUCUUUUCUCUUCUACUCUUAUGAUAGAGAGUAUUGUGAGAUGUAGUUUAAAUAUUUGUUUUGAAGAAUGUGAAUGUACUAGAGACUAUGAGGAGUUUGAGAAAAGUCUAAGUAUAGUAACAAUUUUCACAUAGUGUUGUUCUUAAGUUAUAUCAUUAGACAACGGUAGUAGUUUUUAUCAGAUUUUGGAGUUUUCAGUGUUUGAUUAUAUUAUUUAAAUUUCUUUGUUUGUUUAUUUAUUUUCCUAACAAGGAAGACCCACAUGACAAUGAGUGCUCACCAUCUACCAAUCUUUUCACGAUGCUUAGAAGCUAUUCAAGAACGUCGUGGAAACACUAUCGUCACAUAAAUCUAAGUAUUUAUAAAAUCUUUAAUAUAUCAAACAUAUUAUAGAUCUUAAAACAUGCAUGCUCAUAUGUUUAUUCGGUUUCUGUACUAAAGUAUGAAUAUAUGCUUAAUUUUAAUAUCGAUGUCUUUGAUAUAUGACUAAAUUAAUUCCAUCAAGUAGUAUCAAAGUGGGUCUUCAUGAUUAGUUUAUUGGGAUAAUAUUAUAAUUUGUGCAUAAGAUCAAUUAUCUAGUGUAAGGUUCAUGGGUCCUGUUUUUUAUUUUUUAUGAACCCUAUAUUACUAAAUUAGAGAUC